UUAAGCGAUGUAAAGCGUAUUUAAUCUCCAUACCUUCGUUUUAUUUGCUUUUUUCAUUUUAAAUUUGCUUUAACCCUAACCCUAGGGUUAGGGUUAAUUGUUUCAGAAUCGUUUGUUUAUGUAGUCGGCACUUAAUGUAUAUCGGCUGAAUGGACGUCAGUGAUUGGUUGAAAUUACAGAAAUACGACAACUUUAACAUGGAAAAACUUAUGGAUUUCUUUUUUUUAAAAGAAGACUAAGAGAAAAAGAUGUUUUAUAUGACACAUUCUACCAGUGUUCCAAGUUUCAAAGUGUUUCGUUAAUGAAAAAUGUGGCCCCCGUUUUAAAAAAGAUCCGAAAAUAAUAAUAAUAAAUUAUAUUUGUCUAAGAGGUUACGCAGUAAGAUCGAACCCCAGGCGUGUUUUGUUGCGAAGCGAACUUCUGAACCAUUCUGGCCAUUUAAACUUACUCCUACUUGUAAGAAGAAGUUACAGUGAUUAGACUGCAAGACUGCUGGGGUAGCCGGUUCGAAGAAUUUUAGUCAAACAAAUCUACCCCAGAACUUUUUUCUUUUGUUUUUGAAGCUUGGUACUUAUUAUAUUGAUAUCUUUGCCGAACCACAAGCUAAUGGGAACGUCAACAAACCAGCAUCGGUUUGUCAAGUGGUGUGAGGACGAACACUACAAGGUUCCGGGUUCAGUCACCCAGCAUGGAACCUUGGACAAGUGUCUUCAACUGCAGCCUCGACCGACCAAAGUCUUAUGAACGACAGAAACAGAAAUAGAACACUGAUGAGGUGAAAUGAAAGAUUACAUAUUUAUUUCUACAACUGCUAUGUAAUUAUUAUAUUUCGAUAAAACAUGUACAUGUUCUAUAAAGCAGUGAAUACCAUACCAACUUUCUGUAUAUCAUUAUGUGUGUUUGUGUUGCUAUUUAAGAUCGGAUUUAAUUGUCAGCAUUGUUUGGUUUCUCAAAAUUUCAAUAAAUCUUACUUAAGUUA